UUAAGCAUAUCAAAAGGCGGAGGAA
rnacentral:rRNA from 1 species